AGGUCUUCGGAUGCUGACGAGUGGCGAACGGGUGAGUAAUACAUCGGAACGUGCCCAGUAAUGGGGGAUAGCUCGGCGAAAGCCGGAUUAAUACCGCAUACGCCCUGAGGGGGAAAGUGGGGGACCGCAAGGCCUCACGUUAUUGGAGCGGCCGAUGGCUGAUUAGCUAGUUGGUAGGGUAAAGGCCUACCAAGGCGACGAUCAGUAGCUGGUCUGAGAGGACGAUCAGCCACACUGGGACUGAGACACGGCCCAGACUCCUACGGGAGGCAGCAGUGGGGAAUUUUGGACAAUGGGGGAAACCCUGAUCCAGCAAUGCCGCGUGUGCGAAGAAGGCCUUCGGGUUGUAAAGCACUUUUGUCAGGGAAGAAAUCCUUUGGGCUAAUACCCUAGGGGGAUGACGGUACCUGAAGAAUAAGCACCGGCUAACUACGUGCCAGCAGCCGCGGUAAUACGUAGGGUGCAAGCGUUAAUCGGAAUUACUGGGCGUAAAGCGUGCGCAGGCGGUUGUGUAAGACAGGUGUGAAAUCCCCGGGCUUAACCUGGGAAUUGCAUUUGUGACUGCACGACUAGAGUGUGUCAGAGGGGGGUGGAAUUCCACGUGUAGCAGUGAAAUGCGUAGAUAUGUGGAGGAACACCAAUGGCGAAGGCAGCCCCCUGGGAUAACACU
rnacentral:rRNA from 1 species